CCAAAAUAACAGAUUUUGUAUGGAAGCCUGACAUGUAACAUAAUAGCAUCAAUCAAAGACUAAUUGAAAAUUGAUCAUUCCUUUAUUUAGUUAUUGAAUGAGUCAUUCUUUCCUUACCUCCAUUUUUUCCUUUCUUUUUCCCUGCUUUCAUUCUUUCCUUCCUUUCUUCCUUUCUAAUUUCUUUCCUUUCCACAUAUCAUUCAUUCAUUCUUUUCUGCUUUCAUUCAUCAACAACACUUACUGAGAUUCUAUUAAAUACCAUGUUUAAGCCAGAAACUUUGCCUACAGACAAUGAAAAAAAGCAUGAUUUUCA
rnacentral:lncRNA from 1 species